UACGGAGGGUGCAAGCGUUAUCCGGAUUCACUGGGUUUAAAGGGUGCGUAGGUGGGUUGGUAAGUCAGUGGUGAAAUCUCCGUGCUUAACAUGGAAACUGCCAUUGAUACUACUGAUCUUGAAUUUUCAGGAGGUAAGCGGAAUAUGUCAUGUAGCGGUGAAAUGCUUAGAUAUGACAUAGAACACCAAUUGCGAAGGCAGCUUAC
rnacentral:rRNA from 1 species